UAAAGCUACAAAGAGCUAAUGGGGAAUGCCUUGGUACUGACAGCCGACGAAGGACGUGUAAAGCUGCGAUAAGCCACGGGGAACUGCUAAAAGGUCUUGAUCCGUGGAAAUCCGAAUGGGGAAACCCUCCAGAGUUAAAACUUUGGAACCCGUAACUGAAUACAUAGGUUGCGCGGAGGAAAGCCUGUGAACUGAAACAUCUUAGUAACAGGACGAAGAGAAAAUAAACCAAUGAUUCCGAGAGUAGCGGCGAGCGAAAUUGGAAGAGCCUAAAUUGUGUGUACGUGAUAGCCUGCAAGCGUUGUGCACAUGAGGUUGUGGGACUUGCAUCAUAUUUUGCAGAAUAUGGAUUGAGUUAGAAAAUUAUUUAUUAGUUAAAGUCAACUGGGAAGUUGCGCCAUAGAGAGUGAUAGCCUCGUAAACGACAAUAAAUAAUCUCAAGUAAGUAUCCCGAGUAAGGCGGGGCACGUGAAACCCUGUCUGAAUCCACCGGGACCAUCCGGUAAGGCUAAAUACUAGUCAGUGACCGAUAGUGAACGAGUACAGUGAUGGAAAGGCGAAAAGAACAGUGAGAAGCUGAGUGAAAUAGACCCUGAAACCGUUAGCUUACAACCAGUCAGAGCACAAUUAAUUGUGUGAUGGCGUGCCUGUUGAAGAAUGAGCCGGCGAGUUAUUUUUUGUUGCGAGGUUAAGGAGAUCAUAUCCGGAGCCACAGGGAAACCGAGUCUGAAUAGGGCGUUAAGUAACAGGAAAUAGACCCGAACCUUGGUGAUCUAACCUUGACCAGGAUGAAGCGUGGGUAACACUACGUGGAGGUCCGAACCAACCGAUGUUGAAAAAUCGGUGGAUGAGUUGAGGUUAGGGGUGAAAUGCCAAUCGAACCAAGAGCUAGCUGGUUCUCCCCGAAAUGCGUUUAGGCACAGCGUUGGAUUUAUCUUGCAGGAGGUAGAGCACUGGUUUUGUGCGGGCGUCGAAAUGAUGUACCAAACAAUGUCAAACUCCGAAUACCUGUAAUGUCAUUAUCCAGCAGUGAGGCUAUGAGUGAUAAGAUCCAUGGCCAAGAGGGAAACAGCCCAGACCGCCAGUUAAGGUCCCUAAUAUAUGCUAAGUGGUUAAGGAGGUAGAGUUACUGAGACAACCAGGAGGUUGGCUUAGAAGCAGCCAUCCCUUGAAAGAGUGCGUAAUAGCUCACUGGUCAAGUGACUCCGCGCCGAAAAUACACCGGGACUAAAGCAUAUAACCGAAGCUGCGUCAUAUAGUUUACUAUAUGGGUAGGGGAGCGUACUGUAGUAAGACGAAGCUAGAGUGAAAACACUAGUGGAUGAGGCAGUAGUGAGAAUGUCGGCAUAAGUAGCGAAAACAUUGGUGAGAAUCCAAUGCACCGAAAACCUAAGGUUUCCCACGGCAGGCUCGUCCGCGUGGGGUUAGUCGGAUCCUAAGCUCAGGCCAAACGGCGUAGGCGAUGGACAAUAGGUUGAUAUUCCUAUACUAUCUGAUAAUCGUUAUCAGAAGCGGAGGGACGCAAGAGGAUAAGCACGCAGUCGAAUGGAAGAGACUGUAUAAGCGUGUAGCUAGGUUUGACAGGAAAAUCCGUCAAAUCGUUAAUGUGAGGCGUGAUGUGGAGAGUCUACGGACUUGAAGGUGUUGACUCCAAAUUGCCGAGAAAAUCUUCGCUCUCGAGAUUAUUGGGUAUCCGUACCGUAAACCGCCACAGGUAGGUUGGUAGAAAAUACUAAGGUGCGCGAGACAACUCUCGCUAAGGAACUCGGCAAAAUCACCUCGUAACUUCGGGAGAAGAGGUACCCUGGUAGCGUGAAGCGAUUUACUCGUGAAGCGUGAUAGGGUCGCAGUGAAUAGGCCCAAGCGACUGUUUACCAAAAACACAGGUCUCUGCUAAGUCGAUCAAGACGAUGUAUAGGGGCUGACGCCUGCCCGGUGUCGGAAGGUUACGCGGAAAUGUUAGAAGCAAUUCAAAGCAUCGAAGCUAAGCCCCGAUGAACGGCGGCCGUAACUAUAACGGUCCUAAGGUAGCGAAAUUCCUUGUCAGGUA
rnacentral:rRNA from 1 species